CCUACGGGGGGCAGCAGUGGGGAAUAUUGCACAAUGGGGGAAACCCUGAUGCAGCGACGCCGCGUGAGUGAGGAAGUAUUUCGGUAUGUAAAGCUCUAUCAGUAGGGAAGAAAAUGACGGUACCUGACUAAGAAGACCUGGCUAACUACGUGCCAGCAGCCGCGGCAAUACGGAGGGGGCAAGGGUUAUACGGAUUUACUGGGUGUAAAGGGAGCGUAGACGGCUAAUCAAGUCAGAAGUGAAAACCCAGGGCUCAACGUUGGGACUGCUUUUGAAACUGAGUAGCUAGAGUGCAGGAGAGGUAAGCGGAAUUCGUAGUGUAGCGGUGAAAUGCGUAGAUAUUAGGAGGAACACCAGUGGCGAAGGCGGCUGACUGGACUGUAACUGACGUUGAGGCUCGAAAGCGUGGGUAGCAAACAGGAUUAGAUACCCUGGUAGUC
rnacentral:rRNA from 1 species